rnacentral:tRNA from 1 species
AAGGCUUUAAGUUAAUUAAACUAAUAGCCUUCAAAGCUAUAUAUAUAAGUAUAAGUCUUUUAAGCCUUA